GCUCAGCACUGCUUCAUGUCUGGCCUUCCCACUCUGUUCGUAACAUGUUACAUAUUCAAUCUUGAGUACCAGGAUGGGGCAGCGUGUAUCUUGAGUCCACUGAAAGAUAUUAAUCCAGAGAGUGGAACAAGAAGAAGCGUCAUCUAAAAUGCCAGGAUACAGAAGCCACAUGUCGCCGCUCUUCUAAACACAAUGAUGAAUUUUCAGUGUAAUCGAUGAAAAUUCCAGCUACUUGUUGUGCUCUGAUGGAUCAAGAUGUGGACCAUUUUACAGACUCAUUCGGGCCUUGUUUUGCAAUGUUGUUUCAUGAUGGUAAUGUUGGUUAACGCGUUGUUUAAACAUGAAUGUUUAAAGAGCCAUGUUGGAUACUAUGAAGUUGUAACUGAAUAAAAUUAUUUCAUGUACAACAACGUACACGAUUCGUCUGUAAUGUAUUUUUGUAUCAAUUAAAAAAAAUUAAACACUGUAUAUCCAGUAUGCAAAACGUACUAGAUAUACAGUGAUUUAUGUAUUUCUUCUAAAUAAA